CCCCUCUCAGGGUCGCACCUGGAGAGUUUCCAGUACACAACCAGUCACGAUUGCAGGAGGGAGAGUCAAGCAGAGGCAUACCCAUUCCAUUCCUACCUUGGGCAGUUGCUAGCGAAUGGAAGACAAUCUGCUACAGAU